rnacentral:rRNA from 1 species
CAGUCGCCACGGGAAUACAGAGGGUGCAAGCGUUAAUCUGAAUUACUGGGCGUAAAGCGCGCGUAGGUGGUUUGUUAAGUUGGAUGUGAAAUCCCCGGGCUCAACCUGGGAACUGCAUCCAAAACUGGCAAGCUAGAGUAUGGUAGAGGGUGGUGGAAUUUCCUGUGUAGCGGUGAAAUGCGUAGAUAUAGGAAGGAACACCAGUGGCGAAGGCGACCACCUGGACUGAUACUGACACUGAGGUGCGAAAGCGUGGGGAGCAAACAGGAUUAGAUACCCCUGUAGUCCCUGUCUCUUAUAU